rnacentral:rRNA from 1 species
CGGAAGGGUGAGGAACGCGUGAGUAAUCUGCCCCCCAGUUGGGAAUAACAGUUGGAAACGACUGCUAAUACCGAAUGUGGCUUAAGCUUCGCCUGGAGCUUUGGCUAAAGAUUUAUCGCUGGGGGAUGAGCUCGCGUCCCAUUAGCUAGUUGGAGAGGUAACGGCUCACCAAGGCGACGAUGGGUAGCUGGUCUGAGAGGAUGGUCAGCCACACUGGGACUGAGACACUGCCCAGACUCCUACGGGAGGCUGCAGUCGAGAAUCUUGGGCAAUGCGCGAAAGCGUGACCCAGCAAUGCCGCGUGUAUGAUGAAGGCCCUCGGGUCGUAAAGUACUGUCUCCCGUGACGAAAUUUGACGGUAGCGGGGAAGGAAGCCACGGCUAACUACGUGCCAGCAGCCGCGGUAAUACGUAGGUGGCGAGCGUUGUUCGGAUUUAUUGGGCGUAAAGGGUCUGUAGGAGGUUUGUUAAAUACGGGGUGAAAUCCCGAAGCUCAACUUCGGAAUUGCCUUGUAGACUGACGGACUAGAGUACCGGAGAGGUAAGCGGAAUACCAGGUGUAGCGGUGGAAUGCGUAGAUAUCUGGUAGAACACCAAAAGCGAAGGCAGCUUGCUGGACGGAAACUGACUCUGAAAGACGAAAGCAUGGGGAGCAAACAGGAUUAGAUACCCUGGUAGUCCAUGCCGUAAACGUUGUCAACUUGAUGUGGGGGGAUUUAGUCCUCUCCGUAUCGAAGCUAACGCGAUAAGUUGACCGCCUGGGGACUACGGCCGCAAGGCUAAAACUCAAAGGAAUUGACGGGGGCCCGCACAAGCGGUGGAGCAUGUGGCUUAAUUCGAGGCAACGCGAAGAACCUUACCUGGUCUUGAAAUAUAUCGGAUCG